AAUUUAAAGCUUUAAUAACAAUGGUUACUUACCACGUCAUGUAGAUUUGAGCCACUUUGUGGGUUCGUAUUGGCCUUAGUCAAGCAUGCCUUCCAAAGAGAACAUUGUUGGUUGAUGGUCUUGAACCGAGAAGCAAUGGCUUGAUAUGUUCGUCACUUGGGUCCACUAAUGCCCAGAUUAUUUUCCAGAAACUUUUGAUAUACAUGCUUCCAAAAUGUGUUGCUUGCUUGAUCGGUGCCAAUAGCCCCAUCUUCACUAACAGAAACUCACCCUUUGCACAAUGGCUCAUCUUCUUCGGGCCUUCAAUUCACACCUCUUUGAGAUUUGUGGACAUUUUCAACAGAAUGAAAGAAGAUUGAUGAGAUUGACAAAGGAAAAAUAAAUUAAGAAAUAGAUAAAAUAUUUUUGGUAGAUUAUUUGACAAAUGGAUGGGUAUUUAUAGAAUUUGGAGUGAGUUUUGGGGUUGGAUCUGAUCUAGAUUAAUUUAAAAUAUUAUUUUGACCGUUAAAUUUAAAUUUCAGCCGUUGGGUUUUUUUUUUUUUUUUUUUUUACCAUUAAAAUAGCUUAGACUAAUUUAGAUUGUUCAUUUAAGUUGCAUUUAGAAUACCAAACCAAAAAAAAAACUAAUUGAAUUGUUGCUGUUGUAUUCCAACGGCAACUUCACAAGAGCUUGACAUGUGGCACUACAAGCUGCCAUAAAGCAGCAGCAUAGCAAGAGCUGGGGCCCACAUCAGAUUCUUUGCACAUGGGGGCUGCUUCAGAUGCAGGUGGGCUCCACCGAAUAGUUUUGGGUCUAGGCAAUACUUGGACUACUAUUUGGGUCCAAGUUUGGGUUUUCUCAAAUUUUGGCCACUUCAUUUUCUUGGGUUGGGAGAGGUUUUGGGCUAUAAUUUGGGAUAUUUUGGGUUUAGUCUUGUGGGUUGGAGAUGGCCUGGGACUAAAUCCAAAUUUUUCCCUCCAAAAAGUAACUAUUUUGGUUUUACCCGGACUCAAGUGUUUUUUCUCCCAACCCUUCGGACUCAAAUUUAAAUCAACAACUUAAUUAAAUUGUUUAAGAAUGGUUUAAGUCUUUUUUUUUUAAUGGAAAACUUUUCUUCAUUUAAUCUUUUUAAAUAACGUCAUAAUUUAAUUUUUUGUGUUAUAAAAUGAACUGGAAUAUGUGCGAAUAUUGAGCUGCACGUAAAGUAGAUGAGAUACAGCAUUUAACGAGGUUCAGCUAUGCCUACGUCCUCGGAGAGUAGCAGCAGUAACUUUUCCACUAUAUAAAAUAAUAGGGCUACAACUUUAGUAUUUACAAUAUGUGUGGCUCAUUGAAUUUUCUCUCUUGGAGAAUUUCUCUCUGCUCUCUUUCCUCUCCACUCAUUCACCCUCUUUCUUCCUUCUCUUCCUCUUUUCUAAGCACCCUCUUCUACUGAUGGAGGUAUCUAUUUAUAGGCCAAAUACAUUGACUAUUCACUUCACAAGCAUUUGGCUUCACUCGAAUAACUGGCAGACAAGCAUCAUUAAUAUUCUUCAAUCAAUUGGGUAGUGGGGCUUGCCAUUUUGGGAUCCACAUUGUUGACUUUUCAACACUCUCCCUUGGAGACCACAAAUGAUAUGUCGGUUGCAUCAUUAAAGACUUGCUUGGAGAAAACCUAGUGAGGUAGAAAACUAAUGGAAGGAAGAAAGAAGAGUACAACAAUCAGUAUAGCAUACUUCU
rnacentral:lncRNA from 1 species